rnacentral:snoRNA from 1 species
UUGCAGCCAAUUAAGCUGACUAGCUUCACUUACGCAUGGGGACUUGGUACGCAGUGGCUGUAAACAGGAGCCUCCUCAGUAGUGUACACAACCUGUUGCUUGUGUGGGUUGUUCUAAGGGACCUUGGAGAUAGGU